UACGAAGGGGGGCUAGCGUUGCUCGGAAUCACUGGGCGUAAAGCGCACGUAGGCGGCUUUUUUAAGUCAGGGGUGAAAUCCUGGAGCUCAACUCCAGAACUGCCUUUGAUACUGAGAAGCUUGAGUCCGGGAGAGGUGAGUGGAACUGCGAGUGUAGAGGUGAAAUUCGUAGAUAUUCGCAAGAACACCAGUGGCGAAGGCGGCUCACUGGCCCGGUACUGACGCUGAGGUGCGAAAGCGGUGGGGAGCAAACAGG
rnacentral:rRNA from 1 species